rnacentral:sRNA from 1 species
UCAACUAAGGAAAUGGGGGAGGACCCAACCCGCUGUGGGCAGUGCCAUCUCUUGGCAGGCAGACCUGGGCUGUAUAGGAAAGAUGGGCUUCCUGGGCACCCUGAGUAAAUAAGGAGUUGCUACAAAAAUCCAUGGCUGCUGUUCAUGGCAAAGAACAUAUUGCAGAGGGCAAGAACGUGUACAGAUUCUACAUAAACUCACAUCCUCAAAAUGUUUUACUUUCUGGAGCUGAGAACUUUGGAAACAAUGGAUUUGGGCUGUGUCCCAGCUGCACAACUUGAAAGGAACAUGAGCCAUGAGAGCUCGGUAUGUGCUCUAGAGUUCAAAGACUGCACUUGGCACCUCUCAGCACCACUGAAUGCUACAACUGGAAAAGGGAGGUGGACACAAAAGCCUACAUCUAACCAAGAGGCUACUUGCAAUUGAUACCUGCUGACUCCGUCAGAACCAGGACUGGGAAAUGGAUAAGCAGAAUUGGAGCCCACAGAGAUUUCAGACUCUGGAGACCAGCAUGGGUUGCAGAUCUUUUGUUUUGUUCAGUACAAAAACUUACACCCAACUUUUCAGCCGGGUUCUGGAGUGAAUUAAAGGGAAAAGGAAAGGAGAAAGUGAUCUGACUCGCAGUCUUCAUCAUCACUGUGUUUGCCUUUUGAUUGUGAAUGUGAUGUGAUCAUAGAGCGGCCUGUUACCCUGGCCAUGAUGGGCUGCAUCUUUUCAAACUGACCCUACGAGGUGACCCACUUAUCACUGGGAUCUGUGAUAAGUGCAAGGUUGUGUAUGUGGCUGCUGUUACAGUGACAUGGAAACAUGGCACUAGACUUGAGUGCAUCGGUUUUGCUUUUGUCCAUCGGUGUGAAAUGAAGAAUGAGUCUGACAUGCUCCUCCACAUAACUCCUCACAGCCGACUGCCAGCAGGAGGAUUUGCAGCACUUUGCCUGUCAGUGUUUUGCUUCUUGAGUGUCAGUCACUGAGGGGCUGGGCUUCUGUCUGAUGGGGAGGCUUCCCUCCUAAUCUCCUUCACCUCUCUGUACUGCUCAGAAAUGUUCUACUGUCAAUCAGUCAUUCCGUCUCCUCAUUUCCCUGAAGGGUGAUGUUAUUAAACAACCUGCCUUAGGCCCCUAGAACUUAUCAGUUUUAACAGUAGUCAGAAAUACUGAUUUCUAGUUCUGUACUUAGAUCAAUAAGUCUUGCUACCUUUAAAGGAAACCUUUUGCUUUUGCAGAUGUAAGUCCAGUUUGGGAACUGUGAGACACUCUUCCAGUUCCAGCGUGAGCUCUUAUUUGCUUGUUCAUAUAAGAACUCCCAAGAGAUAGAGGGUUCUUUUGACUUAAGGACACUUAACAUGUUAACAC